rnacentral:rRNA from 1 species
UACGUAGGGGGCAAGCGUUGUCCGGAUUUAUUGGGCGUAAAGAGCGUGUAGGCGGUUUGGUAGGUCCGUUGUGAAAACUCGAGGCUCAACCUCGAGACGCCGAUGGAAACCAUCAGACUAGAGUCCGGAAGAGGAGAGUGGAAUUCCUGGUGUAGCGGUGAAAUGCGCAGAAUAUCAGGAGGAACACCGGCGGCGAAGGCGGGUCUCGUGGGCCAUAACUGACGCUGAGGAGCGAAAGCGUGGGGAGCGAACAGG